UAUUUAGCGUUGAAGAGAAGAGUAGUAUGGGACGCAUUGCACUAGAGAGUCUUCAGAUGGUGAAAGAAGAACCUUGGGAAACAUAUGAACAUGGACUUGGAGCUUGUGAUAUCGAGAUUGGUUUACUGAUUUAGAUUUCACUGGGAUCGCCCAUUAUAGCGAUAGAGUUUGAUAGAACUCGAUAAGGUAUAUAUCGUGAGAUAUAUGCAAAUUAAGGUGGUAACAUGAGCCCGCUCAUCCUUAUG
rfam:Erysipelothrix larvae strain LV19 chromosome, complete genome.